UACGUAGGGUGCAAGCGUUAAUCGGAAUUACUGGGCGUAAAGCGUGCGCAGGCGGUGAUAUAAGACAGAUGUGAAAUCCCCGGGCUCAACCUGGGAACUGCAUUUGUGACUGUAUAGCUAGAGUACGGCAGAGGGGGAUGGAAGUCCGCGUGUAGCAGUGAAAUGCGUAGAUAUGCGGAGGAACACCGAGGGCGAAGGCAAUCCCCUGGGCCUGUACUGACGCUCAUGCACUAAAGCGUGGGACGCAAACAGGAUUAGAUCCCCCUGGAGUCC
rnacentral:rRNA from 1 species